rnacentral:rRNA from 1 species
AGCGAACGCUGGCGGCAGGCCUAACACAUGCAAGUCGAGCGCCCCGCAAGGGGAGCGGCAGACGGGAGAGUAACACGUGGGAACGUACCCUUCAGUUCGGAACAACCAAGGGAAACUUUGGCUAAUACCGGAUACGUCCGUAAGGAGAAAGAUUUAUCGCUGAAGGAUCGGCCCGCGUCUGAUUAGCUAGUUGGUGAGGUAACGGCUCACUAAGGCGACGAUCAGUAGCUGGUCUGAGAGGAUGGUCAGCCUCACUGGGACUGAGACACGGCCCAGACUCCUACGGGAGGCGGCAGUGGGGAAGAUUGGACAAUGGGCGCAAGCCUGAUCCAGCCAUGCCGCGUGGAUGAUGAAGGCCCUAGGGUUGUAAAGUCCUUUCGACGGGGAAGAUAAUGACGGUACCCGUAGAAGAAGCCCCGGCUAACUUCGUGCCAGCCGCCGCUGUAAAAC